CCUGAAAGGGUGGGGUGCCCGCAAGGGAGCGUGGAGACAGGUGGUGCAUGGCUGUCGUCAGCUCGUGUCGUGAGAUGUUGGGUUAAGUCCCGCAACGAGCGCAACCCUCACCCCUAGUUGCGACCGGGUUAUGCCGAGCACUCGAGGGGAACUGCCGGCGUCAAGCUGGAGGAAGGCGGGGAUGACGUCAAGUCAUCAUGCCCCUUACGCCCUGGGCUACACACGUGCUACAAUGGCCAGUACAAAGGGAUGCGAGACUGCGAAGUGGAGCUAAUCCCAAAAAGCUGGUCUAAGUUCAGAUUGCAGUCUGCAACUCGACUGCAUGAAGGAGGAAUUGCUAGUAAUCGCGCAUCAGCACGGCGCGGUGAAUACGUUCCCGGGCCUUGUACACACCGCCCGUCACACCACGAAAGCUGU
rnacentral:rRNA from 1 species